GCUGGGCAUAGUGGCUUGUGCCUGUAAUCCCAGCUACAUGGGAGGCUGAGGCAGGAGAAUUGCUUGAACCUGGGAAGUGGAGGUUGAAGUGAGCCGAGAUCAGGCCAUUGCACUCCAGCCUGGGUGACAGAGCGAGAUUCUGUCUCAA
rfam:Homo sapiens chromosome 22, GRCh38 reference primary assembly.